AGAUAACUGGCGGCGGCCAUACACAUGCAAGUUCAGCGGUAGAGAGAAGCUUGCUUCUCUUGAGAGCGGCGGACGGGUGAGUAAUGCCUAGGAAUCUGCCUGGUAGUGGGGGAUAACGCUCGGAAACGGACGCUAAUACCGCAUACGUCCUACGGGAGAAAGCAGGGGACCUUCGGGCCUUGCGCUAUCAGAUGAGCCUAGGUCGGAUUAGCUAGUUGGUGAGGCAAUGGCUCACCAAGGCGACGAUCCGUAACUGGUCUGAGAGGAUGAUCAGUCACACUGGAACUGAGACACGGUCCAGACUCCUACGGGAGGCAGCAGUGGGGAAUAUUGGACAAUGGGCGAAAGCCUGAUCCAGCCAUGCCGCGUGUGUGAAGAAGGUCUUCGGAUUGUAAAGCACUUUAAGUUGGGAGGAAGGGCAUCAACCUAAUACGUUAGUGUUUUGACGUUACCGACAGAAUAAGCACCGGCUAACUCUGUGCCAGCAGCCGCGGUAAU
rnacentral:rRNA from 1 species